rnacentral:rRNA from 1 species
GAUGAACGCUAGCUACAGGCUUAACACAUGCAAGUCGAGGGGUAACGAGAGGGAAGCUUGCUUUCCUUGUCGACGACCGGCGCACGGGUGAGUAACGCGUAUCCAACCUGCCCCCAACUAAGGAAUAACCUUGCGAAAGUAAGACUAAUACCCUAUAAUUUCCUCAGAUGACAUCUGACGAGGAAUAAAGAUUUAUCGGUUGUGGAUGGGGAUGCGUCUGAUUAGCUCGUGGGCGGGGUAACGGCCCACCAAGGCAACGAUCAGUAGGGGUUCUGAGAGGAAGGUCCCCCACAUUGGAACUGAGACACGGUCCAAACUCCUACGGGAGGCAGCAGUGAGGAAUAUUGGUCAAUGGGCGGAAGCCUGAACCAGCCAAGUAGCGUGCAGGAUGACGGCCCUAUGGGUUGUAAACUGCUUUUAUACAGGAAUAAAGUUAGCCACGUGUGGUUAUUUGUAGGUACUGUAUGAAUAAGGACCGGCUAAUUCCGUGCCAGCAGCCGCGGUAA